GAUGAAGAACGUAGUGAAAUGCGAUACUUGGUGUGAAUUGCAGAAUCCCGUGAACCAUCGAGUCUUUGAACGCAAGUUGCGCCCGAAGCCACUAGGCCGAGGGCACGCCUGCCUGGGCGUCACACGUCGUUGCCCCCCCCCCAUCUACUCCUUCGGGAUUGCGGGGGGCGGAUGAUGGCCUCCCGUGCGCCUAGCCGCGCGGUUGGCAUAAAUACCAAGUCCUCGGCGACGCACGCCACGACAAUCGGUGGUUGCGAAACCUCGGUUGCCCGUCGUGUGCGUUCGUCGCGCAUCGAGGGCUCGAAAAAAUGCUCGGCUCCGGCUCGGCUUUCAACGCGACCCCAGGUCAGGCGGGGUUACCCGCUGAGUUUAAGCAUAUCAAUAAGCGGAGGA
rnacentral:misc_RNA from 1 species